AUUGAACGCUGGCGGCAGGCCUAACACAUGCAAGUCGGACGGUAGCACAGAGGAGCUUGCUCCCCGGGUGACGAGUGGCGGACGGGUGAGUAAUGUCUUGGGAUCUGCCCGAUAGAGGGGGAUAACCACUGGAAACGGUGGCUAAUACCGCAUAACGUCGCAAGACAAAAGAGGGGGACCUUCGGGCCUCUCACUAUCGGAUGAACCCAGAGGGGAUUAGCUAGUAGGCGGGGUAACGGCCCACCUAGGCGACGAUCCCUAGCUGGUCUGAGAGGAUGACCAGCCACACUGGAACUGAGACACGGUCCAGACUCCUACGGGAGGCAGCAGUGGGGAAUAUUGCACAAUGGGCGCAAGCCUGAUGCAGCCAUGCCGCGUGUAUGAGGAAGGCCUUCGGGUUGUAAAGUACUUUCAGCGGGGAGGAAGGCGGUGAAGUUAAUAGCUUCACCGAUUGACGUUACCCGCAGAAGAAGCACCGGCUAACUCCGUGCCAGCAGCCGCGGUAA
rnacentral:rRNA from 1 species